AGUCACAGUGGCACAUCUUCACACGGUGUAAAGGAAUAUUCCACAACAGUUUUGUUUGCUGCUGCCAGGGAUUGAGCCUAAAACUUACUUAAUGCAUGCUGGCUGAUGAGUUUUCUACUGCCCACUGUAUUCCCCUAUGCUGGCUGAUGAGGUGUUCUAUUGCCCACUGUAUUCCCAGCACUUACUCUCACCUCUCAAAACUAUUUCACAGUAACCCAUCUCAGAUUCAUUGUAUGAAACAGACUGUCAAUAAAUUUAAAUUCAGCAAA